rnacentral:rRNA from 1 species
AGUAAUACAUAAGUAACCUGCCCUAGACAGGGGGAGUAACUAAUUGGAAACGAUAGCUAAGACCGCAUAGGUACGGACACUGCAUGGUGACCGUAUUAAAAGUGCCUCAAAGCACUGGUAGAGGAUGGACUUAUGGCGCAUUAGCUGGUUGGCGGGGUAACGGCCCACCAAGGCGACGAUGCGUAGCCGACCUGAGAGGGUGACCGGCCACACUGGGACUGAGACACGGCCCAG